AGCGCCCGCCCACAUGUGACCACAGUGACGGGGCGUCACAUCAAGGACCUAGGUCCCUUAACCUAUUUCCUUGGGAUUGAAGUUGCUCAUUCAAGGCGAGGUAUAUUUAUAUCCCAAAGUAUGUGUUGGAUCUCUUGAAAGAUGCAUAAAAAACUACUCAGUCUAUGUUAAAAGAGGAGAAAAGGGUACAACUAUUCUGCUUGUAUAUGUUGAUGAUAUCAUCCUCAUGGGAUAUGAUGAAGAAAUAAUUCAGGGCCUUAAAUUCUAUUUGAGAACACAAUUAGAAAUCAAUGACCUAGGUCCCUUAACCUAUUUCCUUGGGAUUGAAGUUGCUCAUUCAAGGCGAGUUAUAUUUAUAUCCCAAAGUAUGUGUUGGAUCUCUUGAAAGAUAAACUAGAGAGUAUGCCAACUGAGUCCCAAGUGGAAGUCAACCAUCAACUGAUUGUAGAUGGGGGCAAUCUCCUAGUCCCAAGUAAUCCUAGUCUCUAUCAAAGGCUUGUGGGGAAGCUAAUAUACUUGAGAAUCACGAGACCUAAAAUCCCAUAUGCUGUAGGGGUCGCUAAUCAAUUCAUGCAUUCUCUUGGAGAACGUCAUAUGGAGGUGGUUACUAAGAUUCUUUGAUAUUGUUAAUGCAUGAGGAUGGAGGCUGUACAGUUGUACGGCCCACUUAAUGGAUGUGGAUGUGGGCCAUCCUACUGUAUGCUAGUAUUUAUAUUGUGGAUUGGGAGUUGUUCGGAAUAUGAAAUUAUUAGUGAGGAUUUGUACUUUUUAGUUUUUAUUAUUAAUAUAAAGGGGAAGAGUGGGGACCUGCAACCCUAAAUCAUUUUCCUCUUUUCUCCCAACUUUCUUUUAUCUCUCUUUUCUUCUCUCUUUAAUCUAUGAUUCUACAUGGCAUCAAAGCAUCCUUGUUGCUGAUCUAAUUUGUCAUUCUCUCUUUUGUCCUAUGAUUCGUUUUUCUUCUUUUGUUCUUUAGUCUUUCUCACCCCUCUUGUGCUAUUUUUUUAAAGAAACCUAGGGUUUAUUUUCAUUUUGUUGUGCUAGCCUUUGUAAUGGUCCAUGCAUGAGAAGGGGAUGAAGUGUUCAUGAUCAUCACCUCUCGUGUGUGGGAUGUAUAGAUGUGUUGGUUGAUUUCCAUUGUCUAAUGCCGUGUUCGUGAUCAUUGACUCUCAUGAUUGGUUGGAACUUGUGGACGAGUGGGCUGGUUAUUCUCUUCAAGUGUGGCGUGUAUACUGUGUGAAGCGUACAAAUUGGGUGUUCGUUGGUCAUGAAAGGUAAGCCUGUGUUCAUAUAAGCUUGUGGUAUAUAUUCUAGUUCCUUGUCUUGGAUGGAAGGGAAAAGUAAUUCGAGAAUUGGAUUCAUAAAUCCAUAUGAUUUUUUAGGGGUCUAAAUAACAUCUAUUAAAUUAAAUGGAACAAACUAUCUCCACUAAUGGAACCUUCGAUUAGUGAGAAUAUAAUGUAUUUGGAUAUUGCAAAAGAAGUGUGGGAUGCAUUACAAGAGAUGUGCUCAUCCGACAAAAAUAUCUCUUGGACAUGUCAUUUAUUUGAGGAAAUGUUUGAGCUUCAACAAAGAGAAAUCACUAGGUGAAUAUUAAUCAAAACUUAGAGGAAUGUGGGACGAGUUAAAUGUGUAUCAAUAUUUUACUACUGGUUUGGAGAAGCAACAUCAAGAAAGAGAGGAGUUUUGUUUGCGUAAGAUUUUAUCCAGCUUAAAACACAAGUAUGAAACAGUUAGUGUACAAAUUUUGGGUGGCAAGGUUCCAUCUUUGAAUGGAUGACGUGUAUCUCUUGGCUCCACAAGUGGAGCCAAUGACAAUUCUACUUUAUCACCAUUUAUUGGUCAAGGCUGAAGUGGCAGUCAGAGUAGCAGAGGCAAUCAAGGUGGUCAUGGUGAAGCAAGGGAAUGUCAUGGACCUAGGAAGUGCAUUCAUUGUGGGCAUAUGAAUCAUUUUGUUGAAAAAUGUUGGAAUUUUCAUGGAAAGCCAACAUGGGCUAAUCAGGUAUCUCACAUUGGAUAGAAUAGUGGGUUUUAUCUGGCUGGUUCUAUGUCUAAAAUCAACAGCCACGUAUGUCUGGAGAGACGGUUAUGCUUAUGCAAGAAAAGUAUUCUAAUUUGCUGAAAAAUCUAUUCCCACUGUACCACAAUUGAAAGUUUACUCAUGACGAAAACGGGAAGAUAUUGCGGCCAAUCGUGAUGUACCAUCAACCAUAUCUUCUUCUAAGCCUAAUGAUCCAGUGAGUUCUCUAGAUAAGUUUGAUGUUCCUUUUGCCUUGAGAAAAGGUAAUUGUGCAUGUAUUAGUCAUCCUAUUUCUAAACAUGUCUCUUUUCAAUGCUUAUCCCACUUUCAUAGUGCCCUAUCCUUGCCCUCUUACUCUAUUCCCAAGUUAUAUUAGGAAGUACUUUUCUAUGAGGAGUGGAAGUAAGCAAAGGAAGAGGAAAUGGCUGCACUUUAUCAUAAUAACACUUGGGACCUAACCAAUCUACCUACUGGUAAAUGUGAUGUUGGUUUUAGAUGGGUGUACACUGUUAAGUUUCAUCUUGAUAGUACAGUUGAAUGUUUAAAGGCUCUCUUGAUUUGUUAAGUAAUAUACUCAAACCCUUGUAUUGAUUAUACCGAUACCUUCUCUCAUGUUGCUAAGUUGAACUCCAUUUUUGUUUAUCCUCUGUGGCUGUUAAUCGUGGCUGACCUCUUCCAACUUUAUGUCAAAAAUGUGUUUAUUCAUGGUGAUCUCAUUGAGGAGGUCCAUAUGGAGCAACCACUUGAAUUUGUUGUAGAAGGGGAGUCAAACAAAGUUUGUAAACUGUGCAAUGCGAUUUAUGGGUUGAAGUAGUAAUCACGUGCAUGGUUUGAUGUAAAGUUAUGUUAAAAUAUGACUUUGUUUGAUGUCAAAUUGAUCAUUAUGUCUUUGUAUGGGAGGGUACCUCUGGUCUUAUUGUGUUAGUGGUAUAUGUUGAUGAUAUUGUUGUUAUCAAGGUUGUCAAUAGGGGGAUUGGGGAUCUUAAGAAGUAUCUACAAAUGCAUUUUCUUACAAAAUAUUUUAGUCAUUUUCGAACCUUUCUUGGUAUAGAAGUUGCCAAAUCCUAGGAAGGAGUUAAUGUCUCAAUGAAAAUAUGUUUUGGAUUUGCUCAUGGAAACGAGUCUUCUUGGUACCAAGCUAGUUAAUUGUUUGAAUCACAAAUUGGUGAUCAAGGAGAUAUAGUUGAAGAACUAGGGGGGUUUAGAAGAUUGGUUGGGAGACUUAUCUAAUUUUCACUUGGCCAUACAUAUUUUAUGCUGCGAGUGUGGUGAGCCAAUUUAUGAGCUUUAUGAGGGUACCUCACAUGAAUGCAUUUGUUUGGAUUCUUUGGUAUCUUAAAGGAUCAUUAGGACAUGGAAUUCUCUGCCGACGAAAUAGUAUCUUCAAAUCAUAAGGUUCUCUGAUGUAGACUGAGCAUGUUCUUGACAGAUAGGUAGUCUACUACUAGGUACUGCACAUUUAUGGGAGGAAAUGUGGUUAUGCAGAAGAGUAAGAGGCAGAGUUUUGUGGCUUUAUCAAGCAUUGAAGCAGGAUAUAGAGUAGUGGCUCAAACUACCUUUGAGUUAAUUUGAAUCAAGAGAUUAUUGCAGAAAAUGAAGUUUGCGGUGAAUCUACCAAUGUAGUUGUUUUGUGAUAACCAGGCAACAUCCCCAAUUGUAAAUAAUCCAACCUAUCUAAGAACCAAACAUAUUGAAGUCGAUUAUCGCUUUAUAUGUGAGGUCUCCAGUGAUGAAAUCUCUACACCAUAUGUCCGGUCUCAGGUUCAACUUAUUGAUAUGUUCACUAAGGCCCUUCCUCACAGUCAGUCUUAUACUUAUAUACUCUAAGCUUGGCACUGGCAACAUCUAUGCUCCAUCUUGUGGGGGUGCUAAGCAUGAAGAUGUGGGUUGUACUACCUGCGACCUGCCUAAUGGAUGUGGAUGUGGACUGUCCCAUUUUACGGCCCACCUAGCUUUUUUCUCUUCUAUAUUUAGUAUUUAUAUUGGAUUAAGACUUGUUUGGAAUAUGGACAUUAUUAGUGAGGGUAUUUUUGUAUUUCUUGGUUUUUAUUGUUAAUAAAAAUGGGAAGAGUGGGGACGUGUAGCCCUAAUUCUUUUUCCUUUCUUCUCCCACCCUUCUCUUCUCUCUCUUUUCCUCUCCUCUUCUUAUCUCUUAAUCUAUGAUUCUACAAAUAUCUUUAGGCUUCUUGGAAAAGGCAGGUGUAAAAGAAUUGGUAAAAAUAAGUUAUUAACUACCUGUUACUAGAACACUCUUAUGAACAGUAUCAUAACUUACGUGAUAGAUAAACUGAUAACGAUCAAAAAAUUGACCCAUGCAUUUGGGACCAUUGUUUCAAGUGGAAUAAAAAAGAACAAUGUAAUGGAAAUACAUCUUGAUAUGCAAAUGUCAAGGCCCAUAAUCCCCAUGUGGUCAUUCGUGUCCUCCUUGAUGUAGAUUCACAACGAACAAGACAUUUGCAUCAGAAAAGAAAUUUGAAAUCUGUCCUAUGCUUAUACAAUCUUAUAAAAACUUGCAAACUUGAGCAUAUGCGCACUUGCACCAAGCCAUCCAUAUAGAGAGAUUUUUUCUUCAUCGAUGUGGAACCACAAUGGAAAAAUUGAAAAACAAAUGACAAAUUAAAUAUAUGGAGUUUUCUUUAUCCUUCGGUUUAGGGUUUAUUUUAGAAGAAAACCAAUAAAUAGAUCUUCAGACCAUGGUUUUGAAUCUGUCAUGAUAUGGUUGUAUUGGCUUUUUGGUUACUGCAUGGGCUGACCCUGUUACGCACAAUGGGGUUGGGGUUAACUGGUCCAAUUAUUUAAAAAAAUCUCUUGUAUCAGCCUAGGCUGAUACGACCAUAAAGCUGGAUUUUCUUUUUUUUGGAAAAAAAUCUCAAAAUUUGUUGGUAAAUUUCUAAAAAAAAAAAAAAAGAGAGAGAAAGAAGUGGGGAUCCAAAAUAUGUAUUUCUUUUUUGUUUUGGACAUGUAUUUGAUGGUGUAAUGGGACAUUCUUUCAUAAGAAUGUUGUUUGUUGGGCAGUGCCGGCUUGAAUUGCUGAAAGUCGACCAAAUAGGCCCUAAUCAAACCCAAACUAAGCAUGAUUUGGUAGAUUUGGCCUGUUACAUAUAAAUAAAAUUUAAAAAAAGAGGGAAAAAUGAAACAAGCGAUGGUCUGCCCAUUCUUUUGAUAUUUCCGAAAAUGGUCCACUCUGCUUUGGUUCAUCGAAUGCCAAUCAGGUUUUGUGUUUUGAUCCUCAAAAUAGGCCAGUAUCUCAUUUGGAAUUAAUUUCUAUGCUUCAUUCAUGGUCAAAAUGAAUAAACAAGUGAAAAACGAGUGACAGUUUGAAAAUAAAACCUUUCAUAAUGCGUCCUUUAUGGUUGUAUCAGUGCCGUAACGGUGCCGAUAUGGGGCGUAUCGACCCGCAUUGGCUGAUAUGGAUCAAUAUGGCCCUUUUUCAUAACAGACUGAUUCACCACCGUAUCACUUAGUGGGCUGAUUGUUUCCUUUACGUAACAGCCUUAAUGUAAUUGUUAUUAUUAUUAUUAUUAUUAUUUUUUUGUUUUCUUAAAAUACCAUGGGUCUGACACACCAUUGAAUACAUGUUAAAGAAGGAUCAUCCCUCAGUUGUUAACUUUGCAACCUGAUUAGCAUAACACCCAGAACCUGUUAAAAUGGUUGUUAGGGCCAAACCAGGUCAUUAAACCUUCUAUUUCUGGUUCAACUAAACCCAAGUAAGUCGAACUGGUCUAGCACUUAAAACAGUUGUCAAAAUUCUUUACCUCCAUUUU